ACCGAAUAGAUACCCGGGUAGUCCACGCCGUAAACUAUGAACGCUAGCCCGUUGGCGAGCUUGCUCGUCAGUGGCGCAGCUAACGCAUUAAGCGUUCCGCCUGGGGAGUACGGCCGCAAGGUUGAAACUCAAAGAAAUUGACGGGGGCCCGGCACAAGCGGUGGAGCAUGUGGUUUAAUUACGACGCAACGCGCAGAACCUUACCAGGGUUUGACAUCCCGAGACCGCUGCUGAAAGGCAGUUUCCCGCAAGGGCUCGGAGACAGGUGCUGCAUGGCUGUCGUCAGCUCGUGUCGUGAGAUGUUGGGUUAAGUCCCGCAACGAGCGCAACCCUCGCCUUUAGUUGCCAUCAUUAAGUUGGGCACUCUAGAGGGACCGCCGGCGACAAGCCGGAGGAAGGUGGGGUAUGACGUCAAGUCCUCAUGGCCCUUACACCCUGGGCUACACACGUGCUACAAUGGCGGUGACAGUGAGCAGCUAACUCGCGAGAGUGUGCUAAUCUCCAAAAA
rnacentral:rRNA from 1 species